CGCGAGUCCUCGCCCCCCACCUGCUGCCAGCCUCUAGCCUGCGAGAAGCUCGGACCCGACGUGGAUGCGGAGUUCGGGUGUUUAGGAAUCUGGCCCCGGCCCAGCUUGACUGAACCCAGAACCACCAGCCAGCCGCCAAAGGAUGGCACCACCCACAAUGGGCUGGGUCCUCCACAUCAAAGCUACUUAAGAAAAUUCCCCACAGGCUUGCCGACAGCCUGAUUUAUGAAGUCCCCAGGCUCAGGACUCUAAAGGAAAGGCCUGUUUCUUCUGUGCUAAGUCUGAAGAAAAGAGAAUGUGAAGAUUGGAGCCACUUGUGACCAACUCAGAAGUCCAAGGACAACCUCUAGAGCGACCCAGAAGCUGGAAAGUAGAGUUCAGCCAGCUCUAGAGAGAGAGGACACUAUGGCAAUGACCUGUGCCUCAAGCCACAUGGAAGCAGACAUCACCUGGAUCUUGACUGUCAACGAGCCAGCAAAUUCCUUCUCUGCCUUUGUAGUUGGGGUUGGCUUUUCUGUCGUUUAUUAAAAACAAAGUGUAUCAGUCACUUACAAGUCU